rnacentral:rRNA from 1 species
AUGGAGCUUUAGACACGAAAGCAGCCCACGUUAAGCACCCCGAAUAAAGGACUAAACCAAGUGGGCCCUGCCCUAAUGUCUUUGGUUGGGGCGACCGCGGGGAAUUAAAGAACCCCCACGUGGAAUGGGAACACUUUUCCUACAACUGAGAGCUACAGCUCUAGAAAACAGAAUUUCUGACCAACAAGAUCCGGCAAUGCCGAUCAACGGACCG